ACACAAGUGGGCGAGGCCUCUGGGUCGAAGCUAGGCCAAGUGGAUUGGGUGUCGCAAAUCGACAAGAGGCGGCGACUCUUGGACAGGUUUCUUAACUCCCUGGCCUUAAACUCUUUAAAACGAGGACAAUUUCCACGAAAUAGGAAUUGUCCUCGUCCAGUCCAGCGUACAUGGUACAACUGGCCACACUCCUGCGACGGGGGUCUUGGAGUCACCGAGGACCCGACUUCUGCACCCUCGCGGCGCAGUGUGCACCAAAGGCGGCGCCGCCUGCGCCCCGGACUCCCCAGACCCGGGCCACUCGACGGCGAGGCGAGACAAGCGGCCACGCGUCCACUCUCUGGUCCACAAGGCGCUCCGCCCCUUCCCCGGGGAUCCCCUGGCCCGGCCGCCGGGCUCAGGGGGGAGGGGCUUUCGAACGCGGCUGAGAAUCCUACAGCGCCGUCCCACCUCUCGCGGGGCGUCGAAGCCCGUUUCCCGGCAACCUUUCUCCGCCCCUCUCGCUACCAGGGCCACCGCCUGGGAAGCCAACGCCCCCGACCCCUCCGGCCAGUGCCCCGCUGGCUCCCCUCUCCGCUCUCCGCUCGCCGCCGCGCUGCAGGCCCAGGCCCGUACCCCAGCCCCGCGGCACCCAGUGGGUGGCGGCGCCUCUCCAGGUCCCGCUCGGAGGAGGGCGGAGGAGUCCGAGCCGAGGACAGCCCAGCCGCGCCCGCUGCGAGCGGCCCCGCCCCCGAGGCCCGCGCCCACAGGCUCCGCCCUCCUUCCCCGUCCAGAAAACUCAGCCGAGGGCCCUCCCCUCUCCGUCGCGGCCCCGCCCCUCGCGGCCCCGCCCGCGCCUCGGGCGCCCUUCUGGUCUCUUGCAGGUCCUGCCUCGGAGUCCGCGCCAGCAGCCGCCCGCGCGUCCGCCGCGCCGCGCGCCCUCACCCCGCCGCCGCUCGGCCCCUCCCCCAGCCGGUCGCGGUAGGGCAGCGCCUGGCCGGGGGCCCGCGGGCGGGCCGCCCUCCCCGCAGCAACCCACCCCCCUCUUAA
rnacentral:lncRNA from 1 species